GAUCUAUUAACUAAAUUGGUUAGAGCGUGGUACUAAUAAUGGCGAGGCCGUAGGUUCAACCCCUGUAUGGACCG